UUAUCCUUUUCAGAAAUGUUAAAUAAAAUUGGAAUGAUAUAGAGAAAAUUAACAUGACUCCUAGUAUAAGGAUGUCACGCACAAAUCAAGAAAUAAUCCAAAUAUAC